GGCUCGGUGGCGGAUGCCCCGCGCCUGCAUCCGAUACCCGAAUACGCAUAGUGUUUCGCAGGACGCGCUCGUUCGACUCGAGCCCGGGCCC